GUACUUCCAAAACAUUCUGGGAAGACCUUCCAGAUAGCCACGUGAUUGUGCAGAAGCAGCAAAGUGCCCACUCUGAUGCAGGCUGGGGGAGAUGAUCGUCCCGUGGUGGCAUUUGGUUCCAGAAGUUAUAUUUUCAGCUUUCUAUUAUGUGGUUAAAGCUCAUGAUGGGAACCUGAGCUUUCUGUCCUCCUAGACACUGUUUCCCAUAGGCUUUGUGGAAUAUGAGGACUUCUGUCCAUUGGAAAACAAGGUCAUUUUCUCAUCAUGAGUCACAGCUGUGACUGUCAUUUUACUACAGCGAAAUGUGUCAGCAAAACCAAGAAUAGUCGUUGUCUGUCGGACUUGCACCUAAAAUGCUAAUGAGGAAGAUGCCGAACGCCGGAAGAAAAAUGAACGGUAGCAAAAUCAGA